rnacentral:rRNA from 1 species
AGUUGGUGGAGUGAUUUGUCUGGUUAAUUCCGUUAACGAACGAGACCCCCGCCUGCUAAAUAGUGUGCAUUAUGCUUAGCAUAGUGUGACGCUUCUUAGAGGGACUUUCGGUGACUAACCGAAGGAAGUUGGGGGCAAUAACAGG